rnacentral:lncRNA from 1 species
UUUUCUAUAUGUGGAACCCGCAAUUCACGUCCAACAUUCAUAUACGUUGACCGACAUAUCGUCUCCCCACCUUCCUUCUCCCUACUUUCACUCAUAUUUUCUUUUUCUUCUCCUUCUUCUUUCUCAAUAACACCCCUUAAAAAGCCAAAAAAACAAUUAGUUCCAAAACAAAAAUAAAAGGAGAGAUCAAAUCGUAACUACGC